CCCUAACACCCGGAAUUGGUUUUCAAUAUAAGACCAUCAUCUGUAGCUCGAAUCACAAAGUUGGCUGCAUGAAAGUUGUUCUUUAAUUCCUUAACUACAACAUAUCCAAAUUUGAGAGCCAUCAGAUCAGUACAACUCUAGAAAUUCAGGUACGACGAGUGAUUGGUCAUCAUUUGUCUGUCAACACGUCAGACCUGUUGUGAGCUUCAAAAACUCCAUUUUCUCUUGCUUAGAUCAACAAACUUUCUGCAGUGAAGUUGUUCCUUAACUUGUGAACUACAACAUAUCCAAAAUUGAGAUCCCUCGGAGCUGUAUAACUCAAGAAAUUCAGGUAUGAUGAAUGACUGGUUAUUAGUUUUCUGUCAACCCGUCAGAUUUGUUGUGAGCUUCGAAACUCCAUUUUCUAUUGUUCAGAUCAGCAUGCCUUCUUCAUUGAAGUUGUUCCUCAUCGUCUCUUUCAUAACAUAUCAAAAAUUCAGAAUGAA
rnacentral:lncRNA from 1 species